GCCCAAAUGGUGUUGUGGUCUAAGCGUUGGACUAGGAUUCUGGAGAACAGGGAUCGAAUCCCUGCUUGGCCA